rnacentral:rRNA from 1 species
AUUGAACGCUGGCGGCAUGCCUUACACAUGCAAGUCGAACGGCAGCACGGGUGCUUGCACCUGGUGGCGAGUGGCGAACGGGUGAGUAAUACAUCGGAACAUGUCCUGUAGUGGGGGAUAGCCCGGCGAAAGCCGGAUUAAUACCGCAUACGAUCUACGGAUGAAAGCGGGGGACCUUCGGGCCUCGCGCUAUAGGGUUGGCCGAUGGCUGAUUAGCUAGUUGGUGGGGUAAAGGCCUACCAAGGCGACGAUCAGUAGCUGGUCUGAGAGGACGACCAGCCACACUGGGACUGAGACACGGCCCAGACUCCUACGGGAGGCAGCAGUGGGGAAUUUUGGACAAUGGGCGAAAGCCUGAUCCAGCAAUGCCGCGUGUGUGAAGAAGGCCUUCGGGUUGUAGAGCACUUUUGUCCGGAAAGAAAUCCUUGGCCCUAAUACGGUCGGGGGAUGACGGUACCGGAAGAAUAAGCACCGGCUAACUACGUG